AUUGAACGCUGGCGGCAUGCUUUACACAUGCAAGUCGAGCGGCAGCGCGGGGGCAACCCUGGCGGCGAGCGGCGAACGGGUGAGGAAUGCAUCGGAACGUGUCCCGUAGAGGGGGAUAGCUCGGCGAAAGCCGGAUUAAUACCGCAUAUGCUCUACGGAGGAAAGCCGGGGACCAGUAAUGGCCUGGCGCUAUGGGAGCGGCCGAUGCCCGAUUAGCUUGUUGGUGAGGUAAAGGCUUACCAAGGCGACGAUCGGUAGCUGGUCUGAGAG
rnacentral:rRNA from 1 species